rnacentral:rRNA from 1 species
UACGUAGGGGGCAAGCGUUGUCCGGAAUCAUUGGGCGUAAAGCGCGUGUAGGCGGCCAGGAAAGUCUGGUGUGAAAAUCUUGGGGGCUCAACCCCAAGCGGUCACUGGAUACUUUCUGGCUUGAGUCCGGAAGAGGAGAGUGGAAUUCCUGGUGUAGCGGUGGAAUGCGCAGAUAUCAGGAGGAACACCAACGGCGAAGGCAGCUCUCUGGUACGUGACUGACGCUGAGACGCGAAAGCGUGGGUAGCAAACAGG